UAAAUCUCCAGGAUUCGCUUUGCAGCCUCGGAGCAGCAGAGUGUGACGGCGCGAGGCUGCAGACCGACCGGGACGGAGGUUCGGGGAGCGGCACGCGGGCCCCGGAAAACGGAAGCGUCAGAGCCGCCGCUCCGACAAAUAAAACAGGAGGAUCUAGAGGAGCAAAAUGAUGGAGGCAUCAGAGGAGAACCAUGUGGAUGUGGAGCUGUCAGAGGAGGAGGCUGUUUCUAAGGAGGAGCAGAGGGACGCUGGCGACGGUCCCGCCCACUCAGGUGAAGAGGACGCCGCUGUAGAAACAGAUCAGAGCGAAGACAUCUCCACACCGCCUCAGUUUACUGGAACUGUAGUCAUUCUCGGCAGCAACAAAACCCCGGCCAGCGAGAAGUUCCAGAGAGUCCGCAAGUGGAGCAUCACCAAAUACAAGUGCACGCGCCAGGCUCUGUCGGAGAAGCUUGGACGCGGAUCCAAAACGGUGGACCUGGAACUGGAGCCGCGCCUGGAGCUGCUGAAAGACGACCGGCAGCGCUACGACCACAUGACCAAGCUGGCUCAGUCGCUGGCCAAUCAGCUGGCUCAGUUCAGCGUCACCCAGAAGUCGCUUGGGGAGGCCUUCACCGAGCUCAGCUCCAAAUCCCCAGAACUCUACGUGGAGUUCGGCGUCAACGCAGAGGCUCAGAAGUAUUUGUCCAAGAGCACCGAAACUCUGUCGGCGGCCAUCGGCGCCUUCACCGCCGACAUGAACACCCUGGUCAACAAAACCAUCGAGGACACCAUGAUCAACGCCAAGCAGUACGAGGCCAUCAGGAUCGAGUACGAUGCGUACAGAGUCGACCUGGAGGAGCUGAACAUGGAGCCGCGGGACACCAACACCCUGCCCAAAUUCGAGGACGCCCAGAAAAACUUCCAGAUUCAGAGGGACCGGUACCAAAAGGUCCGAGACGACCUGUCCGUCAAAGUCAAGCUGCUGGAGGAGAACCGGGUCAAAGUCCUCCACAACCAUCUGUGGCUCCUCCACAGCGCCGUGGCGGCCGAUUCCAUAUCGUCUCACAGCUUUCUGGAGCAAAACAUGCGGCGGGCGGAAAGCCUCAAAAACCCCAGACUGGACUCGUCCUCCUGGCUGGAGGAAAGCUGACUCGACAAAAUGGAGACACGGUCCAAAGACCUGAUCCGAGUGCCUUAGAGGGGAGAGCAGCUGCUGACUCGUUAAUAUUUGGACUCCCUGAAGUUUCGGCUCCGCCUCCAUCGCUCUAGUGUGGAUGAUAAACAGCUGAGAUGAUGACGGAGGGUGUCAUUUGUCCUCUGAUGUCACUAUUUUACUAUUUCUCAGAACAGAACGAUGUUCACGCUCUGUUCUGCUGGUACUUGAGGGGUUUUCUAAAAUAAAAAUUCUGGGUGAUGCAUGAAAGUUUGACUCCAAACGUAAAGUUUUUUUGUUUCAAAAGUGCCAAAUAAAUCCAUUUCAGUGGUGAUUUUUUUUUCAGUUAUUCCAAUCAGAAUCAAUUGAGAAUUCCAUUACAAUUAUUAAAUCAUUUAAAAAAUAAAUUUGACAUGUUCUUGAGUUAGAAAAAUAAAGUUUUAUCAAAAAAAUGUUUUAAAAAAUUCCUGUACAACAUGUUAAAAAUCUAGAAGUGAUCCAUGUUUAAGCAGAAUGACAGCAACUCCUUAAAAAGUCUUUGUAUUCACGUCAAAGCUCCUGUUAUGAUAAAUAAAAAUGACAUAAAUAAAACAAUAAAUUCUAUUCAGGAAAUGAAA